UUUAACUAUCAAUUUUCAAAAAACUUCGCAUCUUGGUGUCGAUUUGACAAAAUCUGAAUGAUAAUAAGGUUAAAACAUGUAAACUCUUACUAUAAAUUGACUUUAUUCUGCUGGCAUCAACAUUGUAUGGGGUCAAUGAUUAAAUUUUUGUGAAAUGCUGUGUAUUGAUGCUUUAGAUCAUUUUUCAAUUUUUUUCGCAUUGCAUUGCAUACAAUCUGAAGGGAUAAGUUGAAUGAAAAUAACAGAAUAUCUGUAAAAUCAUAAUGAUAACAUCAAAAUUUAACUGCUGCCAUUUUGUUUUAGCAUAAAAUGGAAUGAGAUGUCAAGUCCGUUUUUGUUUAACCUAAAUCCAUAUUAUAAACAGAUUCAAUUAUAUAUCAAUAUUAAUUCAUUUUAUACAUAUAUACUAAGUGUGUUUUAAAAAAUUAUUCAAGUCAUUGAACUAAAUACCAAUUUGAGUUCGACAACUUUAAGCAUUGAGUAAUAAACAUCUUUAAGAUAUAUGGAGUAAACCGUCACAAAAGAUACUGUAUUAAUAUAACGUCAAUAUGCCAACGAAUUUAUCUGUAUCCAUAUGCAUUGUAAACAUCCUUACUCAAAUAUUAGUGGGCCUACUAAAUAAUACACAUUGUCUAUGGUUUGUGAUAAAUCCAAUGUUAUCUCGAGAUUUGCUGUGUCGUUAUCAAUCAGAUUGAAACAAUGAAAUCAUGUUUGUCUCUCGGGAUGUACUUGUUUAACAACAUUCUCGCUUUGUUUGUAUUUUUUUACUUUCCACACGGUGAGCAAUACUCUUUUUUAACAUAAGGUCAAAGACCUUUUAAUAUUGUGAUUUUAGUUUUGUAUAACAUUGAAAAAUAAAUUUUAUAUU
rnacentral:misc_RNA from 1 species